rnacentral:rRNA from 1 species
UUAACCGAAUAGGGGAGCCGGAGGGAAACCGAGUCUUAAUUGGGCGUUAAGUUGCAGGGUAUAGACCCGAAACCCGGUGAUCUAGCCAUGGGCAGGUUGAAGGUUGGGUAACACUAACUGGAGGACCGAACCGACUAAUGUUGAAAAAUUAGCGGAUGACCUGUGGCUGGGGGUGAAAGGCCAAUCAAACCGGGAGAUAGCUGGUUCUCCCCGAAAGCUAUUUAGGUAGCGCCUCGUGAAUUCAUCUCCGGGGGUAGAGCACUGUUUCGGCUAGGGGGCCAUCCCGGCUUACCAACCCGAUGCAAACUGCGAAUACCGGAGAAUGUUAUCACGGGAGACACACGGCGGGUGCUAACGUCCGUCGUGAAGAGGGAAACAACCCAGACCGCCAGCUAAGGUCCCAAAGUCAUGGUUAAGUGGGAAACGAUGUGGGAAGGCCCAGACAGCCAGGAUGUUGGCUUAGAAGCAGCCAUCAUUUAAAGAAAGCGUAAUAGCUCACUGGUCGAGUCGGCCUGCGCGGAAGAUGUAACGGGGCUAAACCAUGCACCGAAGCUGCGGCAGCGACGCUGAUGCGUUGUUGGGUAGGGGAGCGUUCU